UCGCUUCUAUGCUUCAUUUGUAUUACUAGUUUUAUUUUUGUCUUCCAUUGUUUGAGCAGAUACAAAUAGUCACUUCAUAUGACUUGAUGGAUGUGUUGACAUUACUGAGCCUCAACAGAGAUGACUCUCUUCCAGACUGAGGGACAGGAUCAACUCUUCAGGAACAAAGCACACAGCUGGAGAUCUUGGAGCCCUCCACUGAGCAGGAGAGACCGUGGCUAUCUGCCCAGAUGAAGAGGGAGCGACAGAAAACAGUGGCAUCUUGCAUCACACCAUUUUCAAUGGUCAAAACUGGUAUGUCACAGGAUGUGAAAAGCAAUGAAUGUCAAAGUCAAAGGAACUUUGUACCAAGGCUGUACUUUAUCUCUGGU